GGGGACGUAGUGUAGCCAGCGUGUUCAGAACGGGUUGUUUUGAACUCGGCGAGGCAGCACGACAGGCUCCAGACCUGUUGGUCGUGAGUUCAAAUCUCACCGUCCCCACCA
rnacentral:tRNA from 1 species